GAGUUUGAUCAUGGCUCAGAACGAACGCUGGCGGCAGGCUUAACACAUGCAAGUCGAACGCACCGCAAGGUGAGUGGCAGACGGGUGAGUAACACGUGAGAACGUACCCCUUUGUUCGGAAUAACCCUGGGAAACUAGGGCUAAUACCGGAUACGGCCGAGAGGCGAAAGGUUUACCGCAGAGGGAUCGGCCCGCGUCCGAUUAGCUAGUUGGUGAGGUAACGGCUCACCAAGGCAUCGAUCGGUAGCUGGUCUGAGAGGAUGACCAGCCACAUUGGGACUGAGACACGGCCCAAACUCCUACGGGAGGCAGCAGUGGGGAAUAUUGGACAAUGGGCGCAAGCCUGAUCCAGCCAUGCCGCGUGAGUGAUGAAAGCCUUAGGGUUGUAAAGCUCUUUUACCUGGGAAGAUCAUGACGGUACCAGGAGAAUAAGCCCCGGCUAACUUCGUGCCAGCAGCCGCGGUAAUACG
rnacentral:rRNA from 2 species